UACGUAGGGUGCGAGCGUUAAUCGGAAUUACUGGGCGUAAAGUGUGCGCAGGCGGCCGAGCAAGUCGAGUGUGAAAGCCCCGAGCUUAACUUGGGAACUGCGCUCGAAACUACUUGGCUGGAGUGUGGCAGAGGAAGGUGGAAUUCCACGUGUAGCGGUGAAAUGCGUAGAGAUGUGGAGGAACACCGAUGGCGAAGGCAGCCUUCUGGGCCAACACUGACGCUCAUGCACGAAAGCGUGGGGAGCAAACAGA
rnacentral:rRNA from 1 species